CACGGUGGUCUAGCAGUUAGAACGCUGGCCUUGUAAUCCUGGGGUCUCGGGUUCGAUUCCCGGCGGUG
rnacentral:tRNA from 1 species